GUAAGAUUUCUGGUUAAGCUACUAAGGGCGAAUGGCGGAUGCCUUGGCGCCGAUAGGCGAUGAAGGACGUGGCAAGCUGCGAUAAGCUCCGGGGAGCUGCACACAAGCUUUGAUCCGGGGAUUUCCGAAUGGGGCAACCCGAUGCGGCAAAACUGCAUCAUCUCGGGAAUGAAUACAUAGUUCCCGCGAAGCUAACGGGGAGAACUGAAACAUCUCAGUAACCCCAGGAACAGAAAGAAACCUCGAUUUCCUCAGUAGCGGCGAGCGAACGGGAAACAGCCUAAACCGAGCCGCAUUCACAAGCAUGCACGCGUUGUGCGGCCGGUGUCGUGGGGCCCGAUCUGACCCGGGUGCAUAGAGGGUCGGAGAGUUACAAAAUUGCACUCUAGCCGAAUCACCUGGAAACGGUGAACCAUAGACGGCGAUCGUCCGGUAGGCGAAAGAGGAGCAAUCUCUCUCGAACGGGUACCCGAGUACCAUGGGACACGAGAAAUCCCGUGGGAACUCAGGAGGACCACCUCCUAAGGCUAAAUACUCAUCGGCGACCGAUAGUGAACUAGUACCGUGAGGGAAAGGUGAAAAGAACCCCUGGCGGGGAGUGAAAUAGGACCUGAAACCAUUUGCCUACAAGCAGUGGGAGGAUUUCUUCGGGCCUUCGGGCUUGAAGCGAUCUGACCGCGUGCCUUUUGCAUAAUGAUCCGGCGAGUUACUCUGUGUAGCAAGGUUAAGUGGACGACACCACGAAGCCGUAGUGAAAGCGAGUCCUAAACGGGCGUUAAGUUGCGCGGAGUAGACCCGAAACCAUGUGAUCUAUCCACGGCCAGGAUGAAGCGCGUGUAACAGCGCGUGAAGGUCCGAACUGGUGAAGGAUGAAAACUUCUCGGAUGAGCUGUGGGUAGGGGUGAAAGGCCAAUCAAACUUGGAAAUAGCUGGUUCUCCCCGAAAUAGUUUUAGGACUAGCCUCGCACGUUGAAUGACGGAGGUAGAGCACUAACUGGACUAGGGGGCCUACAAGCCUGCCAAACCCAAUUAAACUCCGAAUUCCGUUUAUUUUAGUGCGGGAGUCAGGCAGCGGGGGAUAAGCUUCGUUGCCGAGAGGGAAAGAACCCUGACCAUCAGCUAAGGUCCCUAAAUUGAGGCUAAGUGAUUAAGGAUGUGGACUUGCUCAGACAACUGGGAUGUUGGCUUGGAAGCAGCCAUCAUUUAAAGAAAGCGUAACAGCUCACCAGUCAAGUGAAUCCGCGCCGAUAAUUUCCGGGACUAAGCCUUAUACCGAAGCUAUGGAUUCGAUCUUCCUUCGGGAAGGUCGUCUGGUAGGGGAGCGUUCCAUGAUAGGUCGAAGGUAUACCGUGAGGUAUGCUGGACGAAAUGGAAGUGAGUAUGCCGGAAUGAGUAGCGAUAAAACAGGCGAGAAACCUGUUCACCGUAAGCCUAAGGUUUCCUGAGGAAGGCUAAUCCGCUCAGGGUAAGUCGGCCCCUAAGCUGAGGCGGAAACGCGUAAGUGAUUGGGAAUCCGGUUAAAAUUCCGGAACCCGCAGACACGAUAAAGACGCUAAGGGGGGACGCAGGAGUGAAAGGUCAGCCGGCUG
rnacentral:rRNA from 1 species